GUGCAUGGUCUAACAGGAAGCCAGAAAAAUUCUUUUAAUAUUGGAGUGAUAUGGUGGGAAAGCUUAGCCCUAGAUACAGUCCUGGCUGCUGAGCUCAAAAGAAAUUUGCCUUCAAGCAAAACUAGCUGGGAGUACAGCAAACUCCUAAUUAACCUGGAUGGGAAAAAGGCCUUGAGUGGUAAUUAUAAAGACUUCAAAUCUCCCCAGUGACAUCAGCUGGUUAAAAAAAUUUGGAUCACAGGAAUAACGUAACCCAGAGUCUGCUUUCAACAGCAUUAUUCGCACUCCAGAGAAGGCAGAAGAACGGAGGGAGGGAUGAUAUCGCAGGACUCAGACCAAGACAGAGGGACUCAAAACCAGACUUGAAGACGAGACUGAGUCAGUCCAGAAGGAGGAUAUUUUUGCCGGUUUCGCAUCCGUGCUUGCUGUUUGCCCAUCACUGCAGUUUAUGGCACUGCAGAGACCCGUGUUGAGAGAAGCAGGAGAGUAAGGAGCUGACGCCGGAGCGCCGGGGGAGUGUGAGUUGGGGGGGGGAGUUUUGGAGAGGCUCGCCGUGGUCUGCCUACAGCUGGGAGGGAUGCGAGGGGAUCUUUGAUGAAAGGCGUGCUGAGGAAUCCAGAGGGAGUUAGUACCCAAACAUGCGUGGUUCAGCCCUGCCUGUCUUGUAGUUCAGUGACGGUAUGAG
rnacentral:lncRNA from 1 species